CUUGCAAUAGAAGUUUGGAGUAAAAAUCUGGCUGCUGGAGUCCGUCCGUUGUAGAAGUUUGUCUGGAAUCCAUCCGCUGUAGAAGUUCAGAUGAAGUCCGAUUCUUGUAGGAGCUCGGAUGAAAUUCGGAAGGCGGUCGACCAUCGUAGAAAUUUGGAUGGAGUCUGGUUACUGUAGAAGUCCUGCUGCUGGAGAAGCUCGGACAUUGACGAAAUUCAGAAGAAUCUCGGAAUAAAGUUGAUCGUGACAGGAGG
rnacentral:lncRNA from 1 species